rnacentral:lncRNA from 1 species
GAGACACAACCCUCCGCCCCAGUCAGCCACCGCGUGUGUUCCCUCUGUCGGGAGAGCGCCAAUGCCCGGGCCGACCCAAACGUUGUCCCCAAAUGGCGAGAACAACAACGACAUCAUCCAGGAUAACGGGACUAUCAUUCCUUUCCGGAAGCACACAGUGCGCGGGGAGCGGUCCUACAGGUACUGGCACGGGAGGCUGCGGACGGUCUGUCCCGUUACGUAACACGGAGGCCGGGAUUGCUUGGUUGCAGGGUCUCGUGUCGGUGGCGUGAGCAUGGAGGCUUUAGCGUGUGGAUAGGUUUGCUGCCUGCAAGGGGUCUCCCUCCAUCUCUUUCCUGCAUGCCAUCUUCCCGCAUCCCCGAAAGGACAUAAGCUCUGCACUUCCUCUCCUCUUUCCCUUUUAGCAUUUAAAGGAACCAUUAGGUGGCGGGCACUAAAGGAGCAAACAAACCGGAGAAUGGCGAGAAAGGGAGGAUGGUGAGGAGCGCGCUUGCGCUUAACCUGGGGAGCAUGCAGGAAAAGAUGGAAUCCUCUAGAUGAAGCUGCAGUGUGUGAUGUUAAACCACCAGAUUGAUGGAGCUUUGUAAGAAUUCUGAGCGCUGAUUGGUGCAAGGAUUGACAGCAGAGGUCACAGUGUCAGACAUUCACCAAAAUUCUCUCCAUAGAAGUCUAGGCUGAUUAGAAAGAGACUGGACUGUUUCGGAUCUAGGAGAAAAC